AGACCCCACUCUGUGUGGCAAUAAACAGCUAUAGAGUUUAAAACAAGCCUAUUCACCAGAGAACUACUAGCCACAGCCUAAAACUCCAAGGACUUGGCGGUGCUUUAUAUCCAUCUAGAGGAGCCUAUUCUGUAAUCGAUAAACCCUGAUAUACCUCAGCAUUUCUUGCUAAUUCCGUCUAUAUACCGCCAUCUUCAGGAAACCCUA